rnacentral:rRNA from 1 species
AGAGUUUGAUCCUGGCUCAGAGUUAACGCUGGCAUCGUGCAUAACACAUGCAAGUCGAACGGGACUUUGAUUUGUAGCAAUACAGAUUAAAGUUUAGUGGCAGACGGGUGAGUAAUGUAUAAGGAAUCCACCUUUAAGUGGGGAAUAACAAUCCGAAAGGGUUGCUAAUACCCCAUAAUAUCCUUAAGUGGCAUCACAUAGGGAUUAAAGAUUUAUCGCUUGAAGACGACCUUAUAUUCUAUCAGCUAGUUGGCAGUGUAACGGACUACCAAGGCGACGACGGAUAGCCGGCCUGAAAGGGCGACCGGCCACAAGGGCACUGAGACACGGGCCCUACUCCUACGGGAGGCAGCAGUGGGGAAUUUUGGACAAUGGGCGCAAGCCUGAUCCAGCAACGAUGCGUGGAGGAUGAAGGUUUUCGGAUUGUAAACUCCUUUUAAGGGGGACGAAACAAAUGACGGUACCCCUUGAAUAAGCCACGGCUAACUACGUGCCAGCAGCCGCGGUAAGACGUAGGUGGCAAGCGUUACUCGGAAUUACUAGGCGUAAAGCGCGCGUAGGCGGGAUGUUAAGUCUGUUGUGUAAUCUCUGGGCUCAACCCAGAAACUGCAACGGAAACUGGCGUUCUUGAGUGAGGCAGAGGAAAUCGGAAUUCCUAGUGUAGCAGUGAAAUGCGUAGAUAUUAGGAGGAACACCGGUGGCGAAGGCGGAUUUCUGGGCCUUUACUGACGCUAAAGUGCGAAAGCUAGGGGAGCAAACGGGAUUAGAUACCCCGGUAGUCCUAGCCGUAAACGAUGAUAACUAGGUGUGGGAGGUAUCGACCCCUUCCGUGCCGCCGCUAACGCAUUAAGUUAUCCGCCUGGGGAGUACGGCCGCAAGGUUAAAACUCAAAGGAAUUGACGGGGACCCGCACAAGAGGUGGAGUAUGUGGUUUAAUUCGACGCUACGCGAAAAACCUUACCUGGGCUCGAACGACUGGUGGUAGUUCUUAUGAAAGUAGGAGCGACCCGCAAGGGAGCCAGCCGAGGUGCUGCAUGGUUGUCGUCAGCUCGUGUCGUGAGAUGUUGGGUUAAGUCCCGCAACG